UGAGGAAUAUUGGACAAUGGGUGAAAGCCUGAUCCAGCCAUCCCGCGUGAAGGAUUAAGGACCUAUGGUUUGUAAACUUCUUUUGUACAGGGAUAAACCUCUCCACGUGUGGAGAGCUGAAGGUACUGUACGAAUAAGCGCCGGGUAACUCCG
rnacentral:rRNA from 1 species